GUUUUUUUCGGCCAAAUUCUGUGCCACGUUUUUUUUGCGUUAGUGAUAUGCUAUCGUGACUAGUGGUCUUAUUUUUUAGAAUUUGAUAUCAACAUAUAUAUUAUUUAAAAAGUAGAAUAGCUGAACUUUUUUAUGUAUUUACCAACUUCAUUGUCAACAUCUCUGACACCUGGUGCCAACAAUUCUGAAGAAAACCUCGAAAGUUAGUCAAGGAGUGAUUUUCUUAUAUGGUGCCGAAGCCAACCUGGGCCUAAAUCAAAUCGGACUUUUAGUAUAUGUGGUAAAUAUGGAGGCAAAGACUUGCCUCAAUUUAAAUUUCAGCCUCCUGGUGGCAGAAGGGACGGCAGAAGAGGCAGGUGAACAAACCGUCUUAACCACUACACAUGCACUUAUUAAUAUGUGUAUGUAGAUACACUUAUAGAUGUAUCUAGAUACACCUAAUGGUAGGUAUAUAUAAAGUGUGUAUAUAUAUAGUUUUUUUAGUUUAUAUCUGUAUAUAUAUAUAUAUAUUUUAGUU